GAAAAGUGAAGUGUGACAAACCUCAAGGCUGAGCAGGAAUCUCCUAUGUCAGAAGAGAAAUGUAGGUCAAUGUGCUUUGCAAAAGAAAAACCUCUGUUUUCAAUUAAGUGCAUCAUAAGAAGCAGCAGCUGUCAAUUGUCCCUCCUCUGCUGCUCCCAAGCAGGCAUCUGCUCUUUCCCUCUGCCUGCCACAACUGGAAGCAAGGGCCCUGUUGCAUAAAGUGUUCCAACUCAAUCCCACUGGAAGACGAGGAGAGAUACCUCCCUGAUGGAGAACAGAAAUUGUGGCUUCACAAACUUUAAAACCACAUUGUUUAUACAAAUAGGUAAAUGCAGGCACAAAUAUCAAUCCUAGUGGCACAGACUUAUUAGCUUUGCACUAUGGAUGCCAACUGUGAAGCAGGCAGCACAGUGCCUGUGGAAUAGCAGGCCACAUAACUUUCUCAGUCUCACCUGAGAAAGUGGCCUGGGAAAUCAUAAGGAGGAAUUAAAACAAUUCUCAGAGACAGAAAGCAGCCUUGCAGGUGCUGUUUGUCUGUUCGUUGUUUUCUUGCAUGAGAAGGUCGAGGGGUGGUGAACCCCACUGAACAAUGAUGGAGAUGUGUUAGUUCACUAACCAAUAAGAGUUUUCUUUUCUGUACUUUCAUGUAUUGGUCUAUAAAAAAGAUCUGAGGUAAUAAACCAGAGAGAAAUUCUCCUGUUCGAUUCCCA
rnacentral:lncRNA from 1 species